rnacentral:rRNA from 1 species
GCCCGGGGGAUCCGCCCACUGCUCAGUAACACGUGGGUGACCUGCCCUCAGCUCUGGGAUAAGCCUGGGAAACUGGGUCUAAUACCGGAUAUGACCACAUGUCGCAUGGUGUGUGGUGGAAAGUUUUUUCGGCUGGGGAUGGGCCCGCGGCCUAUCAGCUUGUUGGUGGGGUGAUGGCCUACCAAGGCGACGACGGGUAGCCGGCCUGAGAGGGCGACCGGCCACACUGGGACUGAGACACGGCCCAGACUCCUACGGGAGGCAGCAGUGGGGAAUAUUGCGCAAUGGGCGAAAGCCUGACGCAGCGACGCCGCGUGGGGGAUGACGGCCUUCGGGUUGUAAACCUCUUUCGACCUUGACGAAGCCUUCGGGUGACGGUAGGGGUAGAAGAAGCACCGGCCAACUACGUGCCAGCAGCCGCGGUAAUACGUAGGGUGCGAGCGUUGUCCGGAAUUAUUGGGCGUAAAGAGCUCGUAGGCGGUCUGUCGCGUCGGUCGUGAAAACUUGGGGCUUAACCCUGAGCUUGCGGUCGAUACGGGCAUGACUUGAGUUCGGCAGGGGAGACUGGAAUUCCUGGUGUAGCGGUGAAAUGCGCAGAUAUCAGGAGGAACACCGGUGGCGAAGGCGGGUCUCUGGGCCGAUACUGACGCUGAGGAGCGAAAGCGUGGGGAGCGAACAGGAUUAGAUACCCUGGUAGUCCACGCCGUAAACGGUGGGCGCUAGGUGUGGGGGCCAUUCCACGGUCUCUGUGCCGCAGCUAACGCAUUAAGCGCCCCGCCUGGGGAGUACGGCCGCAAGGCUAAAACUCAAAGGAAUUGGCGGGGG